rnacentral:lncRNA from 1 species
ACACGACCCUGUACCUUUGCUCCUAAGCAUGAAGAUGGGCUUCUGACCAAGUCCUGCUAGAGGACACUGAAAGGGCAAGCCUUGGGCUUUAACCAGGCAAUGUUCUCAUCCAUAUGAGCAAGGGCUUCAUGUUACUGGCCGUGGCCCUGUGCUGAGUCCUCCUCCCGCCCAUGGCCCUCUCCUCCUGGCCAGUGGUCCUCCGCCUGAACAUGGCCGACUUUGUCUUCAGUUUCCUCUGCCUCGGCAUUGGGCUCCUGAUUUCUCUUCAGCCUGACGCUCUUUUCAGUUAACGGCAAGGCGGUGCACCCAAGUCCGGUGGUGUCCUACCUGGUGACCUCCUACCUGUGCUGGGACGCCAGCGACUUGAUGCUGCACUCCGGGCGCAGCGAGGCGGACAUCCAAACAGCGGAACUCAGACGCUGACUCCGAGCGCACCCCGGGCCUUCCCAUUUCAUACACCCUCGAGGAUGAGACCCAAGCACCUCCAAGGAAUAGCACCCGAGGUCUUCAGGACACCGACCGGUAGCCAUGGCCAGAUGCCCGGCCAACCCCUUCAGCGUGGCCACGCCCUGGAUAUUCGACCUCCCCUGAGGCCCCACCCCCUGAUAUCAGGCCACGCCCUCCGAGGGGACCGGUGGCAAACUCCAGCCCUCGCUCUAGGGCCCGCCCUUUGCGGCUUUGUCCCUGCCCACUGGGUCCUCACAGUACCUCCACCCCAGAGGCCCAGCAUCCCCUCCCGUUCUGCAGACACUUGUCCAGCGUCCCGCUGAGCUCGGCAGUGUGGCUAGUUUGUGUGGCCCUGCCCCUGGUGCCCAGCCAGGGUGGUCUGCAUGGAACUUCUUUCCCGGAGUUCCGGCCUCAGCUCCGAUGUCCACCCUUGUCCCCAGGUGGACACAGCACCGCCCAGCAUUUGGUGCAACUCCACCCUUCUGCAGAACGGGCCCCUCCCUGGGAAGGCAUGGCUUGCAAUAACAUCCCUCUGUACCUUUUCUGGCUUCCCCGCCACAAUAAAACCUCUCAGCC